rnacentral:rRNA from 1 species
UACGGAGGGGGCUAGCGUUGUUCGGAAUUACUGGGCGUAAAGCGCACGUAGGCGGCGCGUUAAGUCGGAUGUGAAAGCCCCGGGCUCAACCCGGGAAGUGCAUACGAAACUGGCGCGCUUGAGUAUGGAAGAGGGUCGCGGAAUUCCCGGUGUAGAGGUGAAAUUCGUAGAUAUCGGGAGGAACACCAGUGGCGAAGGCGGCGACCUGGGCCAAUACUGACGCUGAGGUGCGAAAGCGUGGGGAGCAAACAGG